GCAGCCGCACCUCCCCAAAAAUGGAAAACUCUCCAUCGUCUCUCUUCUCUCAAAUGAGAAACAACAGCCACUCUCUCAUCUCUCUUGAUCGGGCCAAUCAGCCGUUGCUCCAGCAACUCUCCUACAAUCAGCCGCCCACCCCUCUCUAAAGUUCCCUAUGAUCCUCUUUUUCACUUGAGAGAACAACCAACUAGCCUCUUCUCCCUCACUCUUUCAGAUUCUCCAUCCCAUCUUCACCCUCUUGCCUCCAGACCUACCCACCUGCCCCAAACCCGACAAAAAAUUGGCGAUCCCCUAUGAAUUUCUUAUCUCCCUCACUUGAGCAAAAAACACGCACACAUAGAGGAAGAAGGGAGGAACGGACAUAGGGGAAUUCUGAAAAAAGAAAAAUAAAGACAGGGGGAUUAGAAAAUGGACGGGGAGCACAGCGGACAGCGAGGAAACGGUGGGAAAAACGGAAACAGAGAAACAGAGGAUGACACUUUAAAAGAAAUUAGGAUAGAAAAAUCAAGGGGAAUCUGGGGUUUUUCGACGGAAAUUAAGAGAAUAGAAUGCCGAUUCGAGAUUCCGUCUGGGUUCGUGUUUGAGAGUUCUGUAGAUUUGAGUUCCAAUCGUAACUAUGUUCGAUUCCAGUCCGGGUAACUAUUAGACGUCUUCAUCAAUUGAAAAUUCUAGUUUUAAGGUUCAACUCUUUCUCUCUUACUUUCAUCUAAUGGUGUUGAUUUUUCAUUUUAGGACAUUUAGAUACUAGAAAUGAAUUUUGAAGUUGGUUUUCAGUCUUGAUUAUUCUGUACUGUUGAGUUUCCUCCAUUCUUUUUGACUUAAUGCAUGAAUCCAUAUCUUUGUUGCGU